rnacentral:rRNA from 1 species
CCUACGGGGGGCAGCAGUGAGGAAUAUUGGUCAAUGGACGAGAGUCUGAACCAGCCAAGUAGCGUGAAGGAUGACUGCCCUAUGGGUUGUAAACUUCUUUUAUAUGGGAAUAAAACGUUCCACGUGUGGGAUUUUGUAUGUACCAUAUGAAUAAGGAUCGGCUAACUCCGUGCCAGCAGCCGCGGUAAUUCGGAGGAUCCGAGCGUUAUCCGGAUUUAUUGGGUUUAAAGGGAGCGUAGGUGGAUUGUUAAGUCAGUUGUGAAAGUUUGCGGCUCAACCGUAAAAUUGCAGUUGAAACUGGCAGUCUUGAGUACAGUAGAGGUGGGCGGAAUUCGUGGUGUAGCGGUGAAAUGCUUAGAUAUCACGAAGAACUCCGAUUGCGAAGGCAGUUCACUGGACUGCAACUGACACUGAGGCUCGAAAGUGUGGGUAUCAAACAGGAUUAGAUACCCGAGUAGUC